UUGAAUCAGUUUAGGUAGGGCGAGAAAAAUGAGCCAUAGUCUUGGACUCGUAAAUCUCAGGAAUCGCAUCAGAACCAUUCAUAUGAACAUGAACAGAGAAACUAUCUAAUCGGAUAUUUGGGAGCGUAGAUUUGCUUGGAUUAGUGGCACUCCUUAGUCUACGAGCUCUUUUUGGCUAAUUAUAAGCAUGAUAUGCUUGAAUUUAUGAAGGUAUGUGUAAUCUUCGCAUUCCAAGUUAUAUAUAAUAAUUGGUUCUAUUUUUUCAGUCUCUAUGUUUGUAUGUUUAUUUAUCAUUACCUUCAGCUGCUAAUCAACCUUGAUAUUGUUGUUGGUAUUAACGAAGAUAGCGUAUGAGUGAAAAAUUUGUUUAUCUCGCUGAUGGGAAGAUGAGUGAAAGAUAAUGUAACUUAAGCAAUCACUUAGCAUGUAACAUUUGGCUGAGGUUGUUCCUUCUAUUGGUUGUUUUUUCAUUAGGCUCUUCCUUUUGUUCGUAUUUUGUGAUCGCACUUUAUAUGUUUGGAAAUAAGUAGAAAUGUUUUGGGGUUAGGUGGAUUUGUAUUACAAUUAGGUGACUUCCGCAAGAAGUUUUUGGAGAAUAAAGAAUUAUAUUGAGGAUCACUCAGAUUGUAUGAAUAUGACAAUUGUCUAAUGACAGUAGCUGAGCUCAAAAUUUUUUGGACUAAA
rnacentral:lncRNA from 1 species